UACGUAGGGUGCGAGCGUUGUCCGGAAUUAUUGGGCGUAAAGAGCUCGUAGGCGGUGUGUCACGUCUGCCGUGAAAACCUGGGGCUUAACUCUGGGCGUGCGGUCGAUACGGGCAUCACUAGAGUUCGGCAGGGGAGACUGGAAUUCCUGGUGUAGCGGUGAAAUGCGCAGAUAUCAGGAGGAACACCGGUGGCGAAGGCGGGUCUCUGGGCCGAUACUGACGCUGAGGAGCGAAAGCAUGGGUAGCGAACAGG
rnacentral:rRNA from 1 species